rnacentral:misc_RNA from 1 species
CGCGGCCUUUCUGUUCCGCAGGCCCUUUGGUGGGAAUCCUUGCCCCCAGCGCGCCGGGUCGGCGGGGCACCUCUUUCCCUGUCCUUUUGCUUUGGGUUUGCGGGUCGGCGCUUUGGGUGGCCGCAGGGGGGGGGGAUUUCAAGGCCUAUGGCGACGCGGCGUGUUUGGCCUGGGCGCUGGGGCCGCUUUUUCCAUGCUGUGCUGCCUGGGGUUUGCGAUUUGAGAAAAAACUGGGUAUCACGGAUGCCGGGGCAGGGGGGGGAGCGGUGGAAUCCUGUCACCUGGGCUCUCUCGUUUCCGGUGAUCGAGGGAAAAACUGAGGAAACAGUGCGCGUGUUCUUUGUUGUCGUCCCUUUUGAAUACUGUAUUCACAUCGUCUUCUCAUUGUUGCAGUCCAUUUUUUUUUAUGUUCAUUCUCUGCCAGGGGGCAUGGGCCCAGCACAACUCUGCCCCAGGCCGGCUGCACGCCCACCGCCUGCUGCAAAGCAGCGCUAGACACACGUUGCGGCAGUGCGCCGACUCGGUCACCAGUGCGUGAUCUCGGCCCCAAACACCGCCCACUGAGCAGGGCGCCUCGCAGCCGCUCACCCAUCAUGCCGGCCGCCCCCUGCUGCAUCUCCCCUCGGGGUGGCGCGGGCUCCCUCACCAGUGGGCAGUGGGGGCCAGGUGGGACACAUCGGGGUCACGUGGGCACCCUGCCCGUCACACACACAUGGCACAAACGGCUGCAUAGUUGCAGCUCUCUCCGACGCAGCGCCAUCAAGAAGCGCACCGCCGGCAUCAGCAGCGACACAUCGCUCUGACCUCACCACGUCGCAGGUGCUUGGCCCUGUCACUACAAGCAGAGGGUUGACACUCGCAAGGGAUAGGGGGAACUGCUUGGCUCCUCCAGAGGGAGUGGGUACUGAACUCUACUACCACUUUGAGCCGUUGUGUGUUGUCAGAGUGGUCUUUGCUGUCGGUUUUUUGGGAGCUGCGAGUUGUUGUGGGGCGCGCGAUCUGGUAACUGAACAUCGAUAACUUCUGCCUUCUGUGCUGACUUCCGUGUUGUCUGCGUUGUUGCGUGCAAGGGCCAUAGCGGAGUUGGUCGACGAAAGGAGCAAAUAAGUGAGGUCUCCACGUUGUGUACGCAGCUGAUACCGAUACUUUGACAGAAAACAAUAUUUUGAAAAUACAUCAGAUGUAGUAAAAGAUGUGAGAGGGGUAUUCCGCUGUUGAAGUAAUGGAAAGAAUGCGAAUGACCUGAGUUGCCUUUGCCCCGGGUGCCCAAGGUAGAAAAAGAAGCACUAAAGUGCAUCUUUCUGUAGCAUUGGUCGCCUCACUUGCCCCCCUUUUGUGCCUACGCACCUUUGGUGUGGAGUUGUGUUUUGCCGGCUAG